GGCCCCCCCAGUUAUAUAGUUAAAAAAUGCCCUGGAACAGGCUCACUGGGAGAAAGGUGAGCCUGCACGGAACCAUGCGUUUUAUUCAAUCAUCCCCUUUUCGCAUCUGCUAAACGCGAACCAAUCAGCGUCGACUGCGAUAAAUAAACUGUCAACUGUCAAAUUGACGCAAGGCGUGUACAUUAUUGUACAACGAAGAAAUACUGAAUAUUAAAAUGUAUGCCAUACAUAAUGUUAUGUGAACAAUAAUACAAAGCAUUAGCGGGCCGCACAAUAUAUUACUCGGAAAAAUAUAGAAUUCUUCAAAUAUUAAAUAGAUAUCAAUACUACGGUGGCCCAGACGCGACAGCACAAAAACAGUUUUUGUAUUUUUUGAUUUUUUGAUUUUUUGAUUUUUUGAUUUUUGUAUUUUUUGAUUUUUUGAUUUUUUGAUUUUUGUAUUUUUGUAUUUUUUUGAUUUUUUUGUUUUUUUAUUUUUGGAUUGAUUUUUUUUUCAGUAUAGAUAUACAUACUGUAGCACUUGAAUGAGCGGGCAAGGUUACUGAUAAUGGGUAUAUAUAUAACAUGAUCGAAGCUGUGUAACACAAAAUUAAGGUUAAGGGUUAGGGCCGCGAAUUUGGCAUUUAUCAUGUUGAUAAAUUCGGACCCGUUUAACAAUUUACUCGUAUAGUAAAAUUCAAAUGUGGAACUCAUGCUGUAAAUUACACUAUACGUAUAAUCUUGAUCAAAAAAUUUUCACGACAUAUGGCGCCGGACAAAUUAAAUGGUUCAUUUGGUGCCGGAAAAAAUUUUGCGGACAUAAAAUCGUUUAUUUUUUGCCGACAAUUUUCUUAAUAUUUUGAGAUUUUUAGAUGUAUUAUUCAUGUGGGUACUGGGAUUUAUAUUCUGA